rnacentral:rRNA from 1 species
UACGAAGGGUGCAAGCGUUACUCGGAAUUACUGGGCGUAAAGGGUGCGUAGGCGGCGCGGUAAGUCGGAUGUGAAAUCUCGGGGCUUAACUCCGAAACUGCAUUCGAUACUGCCGUGCUUGAGGACUGGAGAGGAGACUGGAAUUUACGGUGUAGCGGUGAAAUGCGUAGAUAUCGUAAGGAAGACCAGUGGCGAAGGCGGGUCUCUGGACAGUUCCUGACGCUGAGGCACGAAGGCCAGGGGAGCAAACAGG